GCCCAGAUGGGAUUAGCUAGUAGGUGGGGUAACGGCUCACCUAGGCGACGAUCCCUAGCUGGUCUGAGAGGAUGACCAGCCACACUGGAACUGAGACACGGUCCAGACUCCUACGGGAGGCAGCAGUGGGGAAUAUUGCACAAUGGGCGCAAGCCUGAUGCAGCCAUGCCGCGUGUAUGAAGAAGGCCUUCGGGUUGUAAAGUACUUUCAGCGGGGAGGAAGGGAGUAAAGUUAAUACCUUUGCUCAUUGACGUUACCCGCAGAAGAAGCACCGGCUAACUCCGUGCCAGCAGCCGCGGUAAUACGGAGGGUGCAAGCGUUAAUCGGAAUUACUGGGCGUAAAGCGCACGCAGGCGGUUUGUUAAGUCAGAUGUGAAAUCCCCGGGCUCAACCUGGGAACUGCAUCUGAUACUGGCAAGCUUGAGUCUCGUAGAGGGGGGUAGAAUUCCAGGUGUAGCGGUGAAAUGCGUAGAGAUCUGGAGGAAUACCGGUGGCGAAGGCGGCCCCCUGGACGAAGACUGACGCUCAGGUGCGAAAGCGUGGGGAGCAAACAGGAUU
rnacentral:rRNA from 1 species